CCUACGGGUGGCAGCAGUAGGGAAUAUUGCACAAUGGAGGAAACCCUGAUGCAGCGACGUCGCGUGAGUGAUGAAGUAUUUCGGUAUGUAAAGCUCUAUCAGCAGGGAAGAAAAUGACGGUACCUGACUAAGAAGCCCCUGCGAACUACGUGCCAGCAGCCGAGGGAAUACGUAGGGGGCAAGCGUUCGCCGGAUUUACUGGGGGUAAAGGGAGCGUAGACGGGGGUGCAAGCCAGAUGUGAAAGCCCGGGGCUCAACCCCGGGACUGCAUUUGAAACUGUGCUGCUAGAGUGUCGGAGAGGAAGGUGGAAUUCCUGGUGUAGCGGUGAAAUGCGUAGAUAUUAGGAGGAACACCAGUGGCGAAGGCGGCUCUCUGGACGAUGACUGACGCUGAGGCUCGAAAGCGUGGGGAGCAAACAGGAUUAGAUACCCGGGUAGUC
rnacentral:rRNA from 1 species